UCGCGCAGGCUUUUCUCUAGUUGUGGCGAGCGGGAGCCACUCUUUGUUGUGGUGCACAGGCUUCUCAUCACCAUGGCUUCUCUUGUUCUGGAACACGGGCUCUAGGUGCGUGGGUUUCAGUAGCUGUGGCACACAGGCUCAGUAGUUGUGGCGCAUGGGCUUAGUUGCUCUUGUGGCAUGUGGGAUCUUCCCGGACCAGGGAUCGAACCUGUGUUCCCUGCAUUGGCAGGCGGAUUCUUAACCAUUGUGCCACCAGGGAAGUCCCUGAUUUCGUCUUCUUGAUGUUGCUCUUUAUUCUACUAUAUUUGUCAUUGGGUGUCAGCUUAAACAUAACGUCCUCACCUUCCUUGCUUCCCACUCACCCUGACCCUCUCAGAUUGUAUUAGGUGUUCUUGCAGUGUGUUCCUCUGCCUAGCUCCAUCACUGCAUGAAUACAAUCUGAGAGGGUCAGGGUGGGGGGCUGCCUGGAGGAGGCAUUCUCCAUGUUGAAUGUUAAUGGACAGAGGAAUGGAAUGGGGGUGGCUGGGCAGAAAAGCAAGGCACAAAGGGGAGAAACAUCUUGAGCAGUCAGAGAACAAGAAGCCGCUGGGGGUGGGGGGGAGGAGGAUAGAGGGGGAACGAGGAAGGGGGUGAGGUUAGCCUGGCAGUGGGGCCCAUUUGGUACAACACUGGACCCCAGUUUUGAUGAUUAGACCCUCUCUUGUUCCUUCUAUCCUCCCGUCUCCACAUCCCACCCAGGACCUAGUAACCUGCUGUGUGACAGACAGGAUCCAGAUUCACAAUGAACCGCGAGGUUUUAAAAAGUCAGCGUAUGUCCAUGAACUUUGAAGAACUGCAGCAAGGAAUCUAGGAAAUUCCAUUGUUUGGACAACAGGUGAGGAAGGCAGCUUCCUCCCAGGAUCAGGCAACACUUGCACCCACCCUGCAACUAGACGGAAGGACAGACGGCCAGUUAGAGGAGGAGAUUAGCAUUUAACAGAACCUGGGUUUUUUCUGGUUUAUGAGAAACCUCGGAGACCCAGAUUUUGCUUUCCCCUUCCACAGUGAAAACUCGAAUACUUCUUGUGGUUUCAUCUGCUUUGUUAAUUUAAAAACUUGGCCACUAAAAUAGGACCCAUGAUGCUGUAAAACCUGAAAGGGCAAUUUUGGAAGAAGCGCUGCAGUGGUAGAUUUCCAGUCACCCCUCCCAGGCUGCUCACCAAGAGGCAAACUAAGUUCCUUUUAACAUGAACUGCUCAGCAAGAAAUGUUUUGCCCACAUUUAAACCCAUACUCAGAGUCCCCUGUAGUCUUCAAAUCUGCCUGUCACACUGGAUUUACACACACUCGCAUCGUGGGGGCCUAGAGACUUGGAGGCACGGUGCUUCAGGAGGCCAGGAUGGGGGCAAGUGCUACGGAGACAUUGGGGAGAGCGGAGCAGGGGGACCUCAGAUGAGUAUGCUACAUCCCUGACUUGUGCUGCCCCUGCAGUUGCCUGGGGCUUGGGGUCUGAGGGCACGGGGCAAAGAGCAGCCAGAGAGGGCAGGAUUAAUGCCAGGAUCCCAGCCUUCAGAAAGGGCAAAAAGCCACUAUGGGCCCACAGUGACAUGACCCUCAAGGCUGAAGACAAGUUCUGGGGUGAAAAGGAAGUGAGAGAGAUUGAUUUUACAGUAGGGUUGCCAGAUUUAGCAAAUUAAAAUACAGAAUUCUCAGUUAAAUUUAAAUUUCAGAAAAAAAAGAUUACUUUAGUAUAAGUAUAUCCCAAGUGUUGCAUGGGAUAUACUUAUACUAAAAAUGUCUUUCCUUGUCUACCUGAAAUUUUAAUGUAACUGGAUGUCCUGCAUUUAAUUUUCCUUGUAUGUCUCCAGCUCACCAGUUCCUCCACCUGAUGUCCCAGCCUACCCCUGUCCCUGGUGUUUUCUUUCCCCUUCCCUCCUCUUCCCCAGUGAUACAAGAGAGGAUCUGACAACAGGUCCCAAAUAACUGGAGCUCAUUCGAUACUGAUAUAUUCUCUUGCUUCCAUUUGCAUGUUUACUUCUUUGUGGCUGUCCAAAGUUUAAAGACUUUAUUUCCUGCUAAAAUUACCCCAAGCAAUAUACAACAGAGGAGGGGAGAUAUAGGGACAACUGCUUUAAUAAUUCAAGCAGCCCCUUCUGAAGUGCUCGAGAGUGUAAAUUCUUCUCACCAGGCCCCCUAGUUUGUUGGCACCUCUCUGGAGAAAUCCAGCUUGCAGCCUCCAGAUCCAAUGGUUGCCACCCAAGCCUGCGGCCGCUCAGGUGCUUUCAUCUGGGAAACAGGAAGGAAUGGAAAACACGGGGGAUAGGAGGCAGAGACAAAGCACCCAAGUAUUGCAGGUCCCUCACUCUCUCUUACUCUGGGAAAAGCCAGCUGCCAUGUCAUGAGCUGCCCUAUGGAGACACCUACACGCCUGGACCCCAGCAAGGCCUCUGACCAACAGCCAUUGAGAACCUGAGACUUGCCAACAGCCAGGCAGUGAGCUUGGAAAAGGAUCCACUCCCAGUUGAGCCUUGAGAUGCAGGCAGCCCUCGUGGAACCUUCAUGCAAUCUUGUGAGAAGCUCCAAACCAAAGGCAUCCUGACCCACAGAAACUGAGAUCAUCUUUACUACUAAUAAUAAUUCAUUAAUAUUAAAUGUUGGUUGUUUUACACUGCUCAACUUUG